rnacentral:lncRNA from 1 species
ACGACGACCCCUCCCCUCCCUUCUCUCAAAACUUCGACCAUUAAGGCCUUUUCGGCCUCCGGCGCACCGCAAUCAUGGCCCUAGGCCGACGGCGAGGGAAAUGGGCUACUCGGCCCUCCCAUCGCAGCGUACCAAAGCUCGGCCAACAACCCAAAGGACCGAGGGCUUUAGAUCCCUCUUUAGAAACCGAUUCCGACGACAGUAAGAGGUCCUCCGACGACGGAGCCAUGGGUGAUUCAGGUAUAUUUCAUUUCCUUCUCCCCUUUUUUUGUUUUCGUAUAUACAAAAAUAAAAAUAAUAAUAACAAUAAUAAGAGAUCGAAAUCUAAAAGAAACUAAGAUGUAAUCACCUUGAAACUAGUUUCUCUGUUUUUAUUUUUGAAUCUCUAUUUCAAUCUGUUUUUUUGUUACAAAAGUUCCCCUUUUUACAAUCAGAUGAUGGAGGCUCUUAUAGCCUGUUUACAAUAUUUGCUACUGUCUUUUUUUUCCUUGCUUGCAGGUGUUGACACUGAUGGAGUAGGUGGCGUGGUAGGGUGGCCGACGUGACAGAAGGCCAGGGGUUAGGUGCGGCAGUGGCAUGGGCAAUGGCGGCUGAGGGCAGGUAGGCUAGGGCUUCAGUUUUCUGAAACCCUAGUUUGACUGGGUUCUAGGCCUGUUGGGCCUAUUGGGCCAACUGUAUUGGGUCGUUUGGGCUCUGCUGGUUGGGCUUGUUUUGUUUGGGUUAGGCUGGGCAAAUAUUGGGCUGUACAGUAAAAGUUUAAUUACUAAAGCG